AUGAGGAUAAAGAUUCCAAAUUUCAGGAAUGGAUUCUCAGGCAGUGAGUUAGAACAUUUAAAGAAGGAGAGAGAAAUAAGUGGUUUAGAGUUUCGCAAGGGGGGAUUUUUCCCCUCAGACCACUGGAACAGGACUCUGCUCCACUCCAGUUCACAUCCCUGCUGUGCCACAGCUGUGCACCUAGAAAUUUCCAUCAGAAGUGCUCAACAUUGCCUCGUGUGUUUAGGGUGACUUCCCUCCACCAUCAAAACAUCAGAUGCCCAAAAAUCCACCUGGAAAUCUGGAUCAUUUAAGACUGCACUAGGACAUAACAUGGAGGACAUGAAGUCACUGAGGAAGGAGUAAUUGCAAGGAGGGACUGAGGGGUAUGGAGGAAGGCCAGCAAAAAACUACAAAACAACAAAAGUGGUGGAAGAAAAACUGGGAAAAGGAAGCGAAAAUGGUAAAGUGAUGCCAUAAUGCUUUACUGGCUCUAAUGAAAGGAAAACUUAGGAAAGCAUUCAUUUAUUCUGUUUCAGCCAAAGGAAAAAAAAAAAGGGGGGGCAAUGAAAAAGAGAAGGAAAAAAAAAGUACAGAAUGUAGAACAUGUGAAGAAAAAAGCCAGCAAAGGAAGAGGAAAUGAAAAGAGAGGAGAAACAAGUGCUGGAAGUAGAGGAGAGGAUGGUGGGGGAGGAGGCAGCACAAAGAGAUCUGAUGAACAGGGCUUUUAGCUGUAGUUGUCCAGCAUCCUCUCUGCACCACCCCCAGCCCUGUGUUUUGUGUACCAUUCCAGUCAGAUUGCUGAGGAGAGAGACAAAGGACAGAUUCCAGGAUAAAAUCAAAACUGCUCUAGAAAUGCACUGUGUGUGGCAGCGUUUGGAACAGUGGUGAGAGGUUAAAAAAAGUGUUUGACUCUAACCCAAGAAUCAAAAUUAAUGUCAGAGAAUUUAAUGCAACACCAGGUGUGGUGGAACAAAGACUGUUGGGGGGUCUCAUUUUGUUCAGUUAUGACAAGCAUUGUUCAGCACUUUAAAAGAAACAACAGCGUAAUGGUUUUUACUGAAUUGUAUGAAGAAACAGGAUAACUUUAACGAAUAUCACAAAACAUGUCACAAAUCAAUUGUAUUGAAAAUAUAUUAGGUUUCUUUAAAAGAAAAGAUCAGAAAAGGAAGCAGCACAAGCAGGAGGAGAAACAGCACACAAAGAUUUACUUCUGAGUGCUACAAAAUAUUGAACUAAAAAUAACAUUAAAGAUGAAAUUUGCAAUGAAUCUCAAGCUGCUAAAUUCCCAAAGGCUGGGUCUGCCAAAGGCUCUGUUGGUUUCCUCUGUUCUUUUCUGUCUUUAUUUAAAUAUUUUAUACAGUUGUCUAUGUUCAUGUGUAGUGCGAACUGUCAUUUAUAUUUCAGUCCACUCUAAAAUGGAUCUUAGACUAUCUCAAGCUGUGCACUGCAGCGAGGAGUUUGGAACUGAGAGGUAAGUUGAAGUGGUAGGGACAAAUGAAGACUGAUAUUUAAUGUAGUUUUUGUGUACUUAUAUUUUGCUGUCAUGUAUUUUGCCUUAAAACUGAUUUGUAAUUUUCUGCAUUUUGUGACAUUAUGAUAAGAUGUGAUGUAAGCGGGGCUUCCAUUUACCAAAUACAUUGGUGCAUUUUUGGGUCACAGUGGUUGAAUUCUGAAUUCUGACCUUAGGCUUUCAUGUCUAUCAGUAACAACAUGCAAGUUUAGAUCUGCACUCUUAAAUGCUUCUCCUUGUGCUUUGGAC
rnacentral:lncRNA from 1 species